CUGCAUAUUUGUGCCAUUUGGGUGUACUUACCUUGGCAGUAGGUUAACAUCAAUUUUGAUCGUCAUAAAAUGAUGGGAGGAAUGUAGCUUCGACCUCGGUUGAAGUGUUAUAGCCUCUGGUAGAUGUGAUGAUCGGGAUUGAGGAUUGCAACGAAUACCUUUUAGGCUACCCGCCUGAUCUCUGAUGGUUGCUAUGGUGCCGAAAGCUUGCUUACGGUUAUCAGAGUUGAUUGUUAAAAGGUUAGAACGGGUUAAAUUCGUUAAGGAUGUUGACGUAAUGGCUUUAAACGA
rnacentral:rRNA from 1 species